GUGACUCUACAGUAUCUCUAAAAGAGACAUAAUUUUUUUAAAUUCCAUUUUUCAGGUGUUAUCGGGAUCAGGUGUCUAUGAUGGAACCGAAAUACAUGAAGCCUCUGCAGUGCUAGUGCACCUCAGCAGAAGUGAUGCUAACAUUUCUAUGUUUGCACCUGACAAAAAUCAGAUGCAUGUAAUCGACCACACUAAGGGAGAACCCA